rnacentral:rRNA from 1 species
UACGUAGGGGGCAAGCGUUGUCCGGAAUUAUUGGGCGUAAAGAGCUCGUAGGCGGUCUGUCACGUCGGCUGUGAAAUCCCGAGGCUCAACCUCGGGUCUGCAGUCGAUACGGGCAAACUAGAGUAUUGCAGGGGAGACUGGAAUUCCUUGUGUAGCGGUGAAAUGCGCCGAUAUCAGGAGGAACACCGGUGGCGAAGGCGGGUCUCUGGGCAAUAACUGACGCUGAGGAGCGAAAGCGUGGGGAGCGAACAGG